AUUGAACGCUGGCGGCAGGCUUAACACAUGCAAGUCGAGCGGGGUGAUGGUGCUUGCACUAUCACUUAGCGGCGGACGGGUGAGUAAUGCUUAGGAAUCUGCCUAUUAGUGGGGGACAACAUCUCGAAAGGGAUGCUAAUACCGCAUACGUCCUACGGGAGAAAGCAGGGGAUCACUUGUGACCUUGCGCUAAUAGAUGAGCAUAAGUCGGAUUAGCUAGUUGGUGGGGGAAAGGCCUACCAAGGCGACGAUCUGUAGCGGGUCUGAGAGGAUGAUCCGCCACACUGGGACUGAGACACGGGCCAGACUCCUACGGGAGGCAGCAGUGGGGAAUAUUGGACAAUGGGGGGAACCCUGAUCCAGCCAUGCCGCGUGUGUGAAGAAGGCCUUAUGGUUGUAAAGCACUUUAAGCGAGGAGGAGGCUCUUUUGGUUAAUACCCAAGAUGAGUGGACGUUACUCGCAGAAUAAGCACCGGCUAACUCUGUGCCAGCCGCCGCUGUAA
rnacentral:rRNA from 1 species